UACGUAUGGUGCAAGCGUUAUCCGGAUUUACUGGGUGUAAAGGGAGCGCAGGCGGCGCGUUAAGUCUGAUGUGAAAACCCGCGGCUCAACUGCGGGACUGCAUUGGAAACUGGCGCGCUUGAGUAUCGGAGAGGCAGGCGGAAUUCCUAGUGUAGCGGUGAAAUGCGUAGAUAUUAGGAAGAACACCAGUGGCGAAGGCGGGUUACUGGACGACAACUGACGGUGAGGCGCGAAAGCGUGGGGAGCAA
rnacentral:rRNA from 1 species